AAUGAGAGCCAUCGGGGGUAGAUCUAUCUCAUGACGAGUGGUGGAAUACUUUGACUCAUGAGAGAGAAGCUGAGGCGAAGGCGUCUACCUAGAGGGUUUCUGUCGAUCAAGGGCGAGAGUAGGAGUAUCCAACAGGAUUAGAGACCCUGGUAGUUCUUACCUUAAACGAUGCCGACAGGAGUUUGUCAUUUGUUAAUGGCAGAAUCUUUGGAGAAAUCAUAGUUCUUGGGCUCUGGGGGAACUACGACCGCAAGGCUGAAACUUGAAGGAAUUGACGGAAGGGCACACCAGGGGUGGAGCCUGUGGCUUAAUUUGAAUCAACACGGGGAAACUUACCAGGACCAGAUGUUUUUUAUGACUGACAGGCUUCGGGUCUUUCAGGAUAUUGUUUUUGGUGGUGCAUGGCCGUUGGUGGUGCGUGGGUUGACCUGUCUAGCGUUGAUUCAGCUAACGAGCGAGAUUAUCGCCAAUUAUUUACUUUGCCGAAGUCCUUCGGUUAAAGUUCUAAUUGGGACUCCCUGCGAUUUUAGCAGGUGGAAGAGGGUAGCAAUAACAGGUCCGUGAUGCCCUUUAGAUGCUCUGGGCUGCACGCGUGCUACAAUGUUAGGAUCAAUAGGACUGCGAGCCUGAGAGGGUGCGCUACUCUUAUAAUCCCUAACGUAGUUGGGAUUGACGUUUGUAAUCAGCGUCAUGAACCAGGAAUCCCUUGUAAAUGUGUGUCAACAACGCACGUUGAAUACGUCCCUGCCCUUUGUACACACCGCCCGUCGCUCCUACCGAUUGGAUGACUCGGUGAAAUCACCGGAUGCUUACGAGCAGAAAGUGAUUAAAUCACGUUAUCUAGAGGAAGGAGAAGUCGUAACAAGGUAACGGUAGGUGAACCUGCCGUUGGAUC
rnacentral:rRNA from 1 species